ensembl:snoRNA SNORD36 Small nucleolar RNA SNORD36
UAGCAAUGAUGUUUGAAUUUCUUCACCUGAAUCAUCUGUGUGGAUCAACCUUUUUAAAUCCUGAGCAGA